UCACACAAAAUUCUAUAUACUGGGUGAACAGGGAGAAAUACUUUUUUAUCCUUCUAUAAAUAGAACUGUUGAAUAUAUGCAUGAAACAUGGAAGUACGGUUGUGAGUCUUCGAAAUUUGCUUAUAUUUGUAAAAGUGAAUAAUGUUGAUGAUGUUGGACCAGAAAUAGAAUUAUUCUAUAAACGUUUAGCGCAUGCUCACUAUACUAAUUGUUCGUGUGAAGGAAAAUGUGACUUGCCUAGGUACAGUUCAGUUGGUUACCUGGUCAGAUACAGUUUAGAUCAUUUUCUUCUUGAUCCAGGAGUGAAGUUACAAUUCAAUUCUCUAAUAAAUAAACACACACAAAAAACACGCCACAUAAAAAGCUUUUCAAAAACUUAUUUUAAAAAAAAAUAUAGUGAAUAAAAUCAAUUAAAAUUAGGAAAAAGAAUAAUAAAAAAAGUUAAAAUAAAAUAUUUCUCAGUGAAUUUUUAGUGGAUGAAAAAAAUAUUUAUGUGACAGUUUGAGAAUGGACCGCAGGAUGGAAAACAGCAAAAAUUGCUAAACAAAAAAAACAGGUUUGAGAUGAAUGCAUAAUUGUUGAUUAUAUUUAAAUUAACUGAGAGAGCUCAGGUCAUUGAAACAUUGCAAAAGGAGCCCGUGAAUUGUUAAAUUUGUAUUGUAGCUGAAGAAGCUUCUAAUAUGCAAUUAUGCAUUCAUUAUUUAAAUAAAAUAUUAAAAUUUUAUAUAAAACUGACUAGUUAUUCUUUUUGUUUUCAGAGCUGAAGCAUGUUAACUUGGAAGUUGGUCGAAAACGUGACAGUUUGGGUUCCAAUUAUGAUAACUGAUUACUCAUAACAUAUCAACAACAACUUGUCAGCGUUAAAAGCGUCAAAGUGAACAACAUUGUUAUUUUAAUUAUAUUCUGAUUUAUCUGGCAGUGUUACAAAUUGUAUUUCAUUUUUAAAUCUGUGAACAAUAAAGAUCAUUCUUUUCCUCCGUG